rnacentral:rRNA from 1 species
GCUUACGGCCAUACCACCCUGAGCACGCCUGAUCUCGUCUGAUCUCGGAAGCUAAUCAUGGAUGGGCUUGGUUAGUACUUGGAUGAGAGACUGCCUGGGAAUACCAGGUGCUGUUAGCU